rnacentral:rRNA from 1 species
GACGAACGCUGGCGGCGUGCUUAACACAUGCAAGUCGAACGGAAAGGCCUGCUUUCCCUUGUGGGUUGCGGGUACUCGAGUGGCGAACGGGUGAGUAACACGUGAGUGAUCUGCCCCCAACUUGGGUAUAAGCCUGGGAAACUGGGCCUAAUUCCCGAUAGGACUGCAGGGUGGUGCCUGUGGUGGAAGACGAUUGGCUAGUGGUCGGGGAUGAGCUCGCGGCCUAUCAGCUUGUUGGUGGGGUAAUGGCCUACCAAGGGGGCGACGGGUAGGCGGCCUGGGGGGGUGGACGUCCACAUGGGGACUGCGAUACGGCGCAGACGCCUACGGGAGGCCGCCGUGGGGAAUAUUGCGCGGUGGGCGGAAGCCUGAUGCAGCGACGCCGAGUGGGGGAUGACGGCCUUCGGGUUGUAAACUCCUUUCGGCCGCGAGGAAGCCACCUGGUUGGAAGGGUGGUGACGGUAGUGGUAGAAGAAGCACCGGCUAACUACGUG